GCGGCAUGCCUUACCAUGCAAGUCGAACGGUAACAGGUCUUCGGAUGCUGACGAGUGGCGAACGGGUGAGUAAUACAUCGGAACGUGCCCAGUCGUGGGGGAUAACUACGCGAAAGCGUAGCUAAUACCGCAUACGAUCUAUGGAUGAAAGCGGGGGAUCGCAAGACCUCGCGCGAUUGGAGCGGCCGAUGGCAGAUUAGGUAGUUGGUGGGGUAAAGGCUCACCAAGCCGACGAUCUGUAGCUGGUCUGAGAGGACGACCAGCCACACUGGGACUGAGACACGGCCCAGACUCCUACGGGAGGCAGCAGUGGGGAAUUUUGGACAAUGGGCGCAAGCCUGAUCCAGCCAUGCCGCGUGCAGGAUGAAGGCCUUCGGGUUGUAAACUGCUUUUGUACGGAACGAAAAGUCUCUUUCUAAUAAAGAGAGAUCAUGACGGUACCGUAAGAAUAAGCACCGGCUAACUACGUGCCAGCAGCCGCGGUAAUACGUAGGGUGCAAGCGUUAAUCGGAAUUACUGGGCGUAAAGCGUGCGCAGGCGGUGAUGUAAGACAGUUGUGAAAUCCCCGGGCUCAACCUGGGAACUGCAUCUGUGACUGCAUCGCUGGAGUGCGGCAGAGGGGGGAUGGAAUUCCGCGUGUAGCAGUGAAAUGCGUAGAUAUG
rnacentral:rRNA from 1 species